rnacentral:tRNA from 10 species
GCCCGGAUGGCGGAACUGGCAGACGCGCCAGACUCAAAAUCUGGUUCUCGCAAGAGAGUCCGAGUUCGACCCUCGGUCCGGGCACCA